ACCGGCAGCUCAAGUGGUGGCCAUUUUUAUUGGGCCUAAAGCGUUCGUAGCCGGUUUGAUAAGUCUCUGGUGAAAUCCCGCAGCUUAACUGUGGGACUUGCUGGAGAUACUAUUAGACUUGAGGUCGGGAGAGGUUAGGGGUACUCCCAGGGGAGGCGUAACAGGCUGUAAUCCGAGGGGGACUAACGGUGGCGAAGGGCGCGAACUGGAGAGAAUCCGACGGUGAGUAGCGUAAUUGAGUAAUGCCCACGU
rnacentral:rRNA from 1 species